GCCCCUGUGGUGGAAUGGUAGACGCGGCAGACUCAAAAUCUGUUGUCUUUGCGGACGUGGGAGUUCGAGUCUCCCCGGGGGCACCA
rnacentral:tRNA from 1 species